rnacentral:rRNA from 1 species
AGAGCGAACGCUGGCGGCGUGCUUAACACAUGCAAGUCGAGUGCGCGCCUGUAGCAAUACAGGUGGCGCACGGCGCACGGGUGCGUAACACGUGGGUAAUCUGCCCUUCGAUGGGGAAUAACUCCGGGAAACCGAAGCUAAUUCCGCAUAACAUUCCUUGGACCUCGGUCUGGGGAUUCAAAGCCGUAAGGCGUCGGAGGAGGAACUCGCGCACGAUUAGUUAGUUGGCAGGGUAACGGCCUACCAAGACUUUGAUCGUU